GGAGGAAAGCAGGGGAUCGCAAGACCUUGCGCUUUUGGAGCGGCCGAUGCCUGAUUAGCUAGUUGGUGAGGUAAAGGCUUACCAAGGCGUCGAUCAGUAGCUGGUCUGAGAGGACGACCAGCCACACUGGGACUGAGACACGGCCCAGACUCCUACGGGAGGCAGCAGUGGGGAAUUUUGGACAAUGGGGGAAACCCUGAUCCAGCCAUGCCGCGUGAGUGAAGAAGGCCUUCGGGUUGUAAAGCUCUUUCAGCCGGAACGAAACGGUCACAGCUAAUACCUGUGACUACUGACGGUACCGGAAGAAGAAGCACCGGCUAACUACGUGCCAGCAGCCGCGGUAAUACGUAGGGUGCGAGCGUUAAUCGGAAUUACUGGGCGUAAAGCGUGCGCAGGCGGUUUUGUAAGUCAGAUGUGAAAUCCCCGGGCUUAACCUGGGAACUGCGUUUGAAACUACAAAGCUAG
rnacentral:rRNA from 1 species